UGAAAGCUUCUGAGUGAGGGAAGGAUGCAGAGUGGUCCUUUAGGAAGAGGAAUCUGGGGAUGGCAGUGUGAAAGCAGAGCAGGGAUCACUAUGUGGCGAGUGCCUUCUGUUCUAUAUAUGCAGGACAUGGCAAGGAUGUGAAUAGGGAUGGCGCAGUGGGAUGGAAACUGGAGGAAGGUGGCUGAGAGGAAGAAAAAGCAAGCAGGUGUGAAGGCAAGAAAGCGGUAAUAGUUUAUGGCACGAUCUGCUUAACUAACAUUAACUUAACGAAUAUUGCUUAACUAAUAUUAAAUGCUUAACUAAUAUUGAUUCUCUUUCUUUUUCCAUGCUAACUGAACAUUCCGAUUCUGUUGAGGGUCACAGUGAUUUCAGUCAAAAAUACUUUUCAUAUUCCCUUGCCUGUAGGAGUGCCAUGUGGUCCAGUUUAUCCAAUGAGAUGUAAGCAGAAAUCUAAUGGGAAAUGGUUAUUUUCCUGAUUAAAAGACGACAGUCUCUGCUAGCAUCUCCCUUUUGUCUUUUCCCCCCACCCACUUCCUUUAACAUCGGAAACGGACAUAGACAUGAUGUCUAGAGUUGUAGCAAUCAUCUUGUAAACAAGGGGAUGAAUGCCACCUACAGGGAAAGGUAGAAACAGACAGAAUCUUCAUAACAUUGUACAGCUAUCUCUGAACUUCAUUUUACAUGACAGGAAAAUAAAAUAUUUAGUUAAACCAGUGUGGUUGGAUUUCUUCUACAAUCCUAAUUGAAACAGAGUAAAAGGUCACUCUAAGAGUUUAAGCCCUAACAAAUUAGGAAAUAAUGCCUUGUUAAUUCUCAAUCCAGGGUAAUCGGAUAAGAACCAGAAGAGGGCUCUACUCCAGCAAGGGAAAUCUUCCUAAAAUAGGGGCAUUGCCGCUUGGAAUUGGAGCCAGGGCACCGUGAGUCAUUAGACAUGUUCUCAUUCAGGUUGUAUAAGCGCCUAAAUGUGCUUUGCAUUCUGACAGGUCAGGUCUAUCACUCUCCC
rnacentral:lncRNA from 1 species